GUGGGGAAUAUUGGGCAAUGGGCGCAAGCCUGACCCAGCAACGCCGCGUGAAGGAAGAAGGCCCUCGGGUUGUAAACCUCUUUUAUGAAGGACGAAGGAAGUGACGGUACUUCAUGAAUAAGCCACGGCUAACUACGUGCCAGCAGCCGCGGUAAUACGUAGGUGGCAAGCGUUAUCCGGAUUUACUGGGUGUAAAGGGCGUGUAGGCGGGACAGCAAGUAAGGUGUGAAAUUCCAGGGGUCAACCCUGGAACUGAAUUUGCAACUGUUGUUCUUGAGUGAUGGAGAGGCAGGCGGAAUUCCGUGUGUAGCGGUGAAAUGCGUAGAUAUACGGAGGAACACCAGUGGCGAAGGCGGCCUGCUGGACAUUAACUGACGCUGAGGCGCGAAAGCGUGGGGAGCAAACAGGAUUAGAAACCCUUGUAGUCC
rnacentral:rRNA from 1 species